GAUGAACGCUAGCGGCAGGCUUAAUACAUGCAAGUCAAGGGGGUAGCAAUACAACCGGCGCACGGGUGAGUAACGCGUACACAACAUGCCAUAUACUGGGGUAUAGCUUUGGGAAACUGAAGGUAAUCCCCCAUAGUAUUUCGGUUAGGCAUCUAUCUGCAAUUAAAGUUUCGACGGUAUAUGAUUGGUGUGCGUUCCAUUAGCUAGUUGGUAGGGUAACGGCCUACCAAGGCGACGAUGGGUAGCUGGCGUGAGAGCGCGACCAGCCACACUGGAACUGAGACACGGUCCAGACUCCUACGGGAGGCAGCAGUAGGGAAUAUUGGACAAUGGGCGAAAGCCUGAUCCAGCCAUGCCGCGUGAUAGAUGAAGGCCCUCUGGGUUGUAAAUAUCUUUAUC
rnacentral:rRNA from 1 species